AAGCUGGGGUGUCGGCGGGCGGCCGCGGCCGGGUCUAGCGGUGCCUGCGGAAGAAGGAGGAGGAGGGCUGGCGAUGAGAAGCAGCAGGGGGAAUCAAGGGCAAGAAGGGACCCAGAGGGGCAGGUGGCUGAGAUGCUGGCGUCCAGGUGACCCGAGGAAUCCUCUGGAGAUACAGGCCCGCGCAUGCGCGUGCUCGAGCGCUGAAGCCCAUUGCCCGCAGGGCGCUGGACUGGCGCCCCGGCCGGCGAGGCUGUCUAGUCCAGGCUCCAGGCCCCGGCUCUGGCCAGGCGCCGCCGCCUCCCGGUGCAGCUGAAAGUCGACGAAGAGGGCGGGGCGGGGGCGGCUUGUGGACUUCCACACUUUUCCUCUCUUCGGGCCAGUCUGGGGAGAGGGUGGCUAGCUGUGGCGGCGGCCAAUUACGUGGCGGACCUGCGGGGCUAAGCUGGCACGUCACUUCCGACUAGUGGAGUUUUUAGCCUUUUAACAUUCAAGGAUUAGGUAAAAGUCUUGCAGUGAAAAACCCGAGGACCCUUACCGCAAGUGUCUUUUGCUCCCAGCUACUGAUACUGGAUUCCACUCGUGAUUCUCCCUUUCUUAGCGCAUUCAUGAUAUAGACAUCAGUCUCUGAGCUGGAGGAGGACAAAGGCAGCGGUCCUGUGAAUUCUAUGCUCUAGCUUGGGUUAAGGGAUUUGGAAUUGCACUUGUUUCAGAGAGCUCCCUCUUUGCCCACUAGCAGGGCAUUAGCUGGUGCUGAAGACAGUGGCUGCUUGGCGAGCCUGGAUCUCCAAGUGACCCCCUCAGCAACUCCUGAUGAACAGGACUGAAGCCAAUAUUAAAGCAAGUCAACCAAAGGUUCUCUGGUGUAGACAAGACAGCAAAAGGACAGACUACCUUGUGGAACCUAGCAUUGUUCUCCUUCUGCAGCACUAAGUAACAUUUGUUCUCCGUUAAGAUCUUUGCAAACCACACACAAGAAUUGCUGGUCAUCCUGCCAAUAGAUGCUGCUCACAGAACCAAAUUUCCUGUGCUGAAUUGUCACUCAUGGGCCUGAGAGUAGGAGACUGGAGACCAAGGUGGCUAGAAUCCAGUUGGGCCUGAUGUCUCCCUGUUGAAAGGGCUCCUUGUGGAAUGAAUAGCACAUGGCUCCUGUGGUGGAUCUGAUAGUGGCAUAGCACCAAGUGAUGCAGGCCUGCCAGGGGCCACAGACACAGAAGAUGCUCCCGGGGUCCCCCAUGUACUCCAGACACACUGCAGGCCACCUCUCCCAGCAGGUUGCCAGUCAUGGGCCCCAUCAUCAUGACUUCUGUCCAAGGUACUGUGUGCAGAAAUGUGAUUGAGAUUCAAGUCAGGGCCUCUCUGCCCUUUUCCCUCCAGAAACAAAACCAAGAUAAUUUAUCCUGAACACGGUGAAAAAAGGAAGGGAGGGAGGAGAAAAAGUCCGGGUCUCACCUGGGAUUCUCUGUCUCCUGCAACAUGAAGGAUUUAGCCUGGGAGGAGGUGGUGAGAACUCUGGGAGAGAAAAAAGAAGGAAAGAAUAGUUUUACCCAUGCUGAAGUUAAUUUAAACCUUCACCUAGAGAAGCAAAAAAAAAAACCCACACUUUCCCAUUUUGUGCCUCCCUUCCUAGAGUUUUAGCCAAAGGUUUAGCUAAGUAAUUGGUUUUACCAGGGCACUCACUCCUCCUAUCCCAAGUCUGUUUGACUCCCUCCCCAUCAUCCUCCUCACCUCUUUUCAGGCAGGGUGGGGAUAGCAGCAGGAGGAGAUUUUGGGAGCCUGGCAACUCCUGCAAGGACCGCAGGACAGCCCCUCUGUGGGGAUGCGUGGUGCCCCAUCUGCCGCCCUUCUGAAGAAUGCACUGCCUUCACUUUUUACUGUGUUAGAGUCCAUCCAGACUGUUCUAUCCAAAAAAGUUUCUUUUUCCCCCACAGGCAAUCAGGAAAUGAUUCCUUUCCCGACUGCUUCUGUCUAGUGCCUGGGAAUCUUGAGUCAAUCCCUCAGUAAGUCAGUGACUAGGGAAAUCCCUCUCUGAGACUCCCAGUUCAUGUUGCUUAGGGAACCUGAUAUUUUCGUGAAACCUGCCUACACAUGGGCAGCCCAACAGCAGAACAAAUGGUGGUGACCAAAGUGAACAAAGAAGUAUAGUUGUGCCAGCUUCGUAGUUGCCCAUGUGGACAAGUCAGCAGGAUCAGGACACGAGGAAGAGUAAAUGUGAGACAGUCAAUGUGACUUCUGCGAUAAACAGAUUUUUAAACCCCGAAAUUUUGCAAAAUUUUGGUGAAACCUGAACUUUCUUCGUUGCAUAUACUGGCACUAUCUGUACCAUCAUACAACCGUCUCACAUUAAAGCUAUUUUUCUUGGGCACUGAUGAGUAAGGUUGGUAUGUUUGAGUUCCUCAGAUCAACAAAAACCCAUUUUCCUGUAAGUCUUACAUUUAGUAUUUAAGGAACUAAAACUUAAAUACAUUUUGUGAAAUGGUUGACACUUCACUGAUAAUGAUUUAUUGCUUGGAUUAAUAAAUUUUCCAAAAGUUGUCUUAUGUAGAAUAUGGUUUGCAACCAGCAGAACCAUUAAUCUAUACUGCAAUGAUAUGCACUAUGUAUAAUUGUUUAAAAGCCUCUACUUAAUGAUGUAAAAUGCUCUAUUUAAUUACACAUUUGGGUAAACUGUAUACUAACAUCUGAUGGCAUUUUUCCACUGUUUGUUGCUUUUUUCAAAUACUUUAUUGUACAAAGCUGUUCUUAAUAUUUUUCAAGUUUUUUUCUUUGAAUUUUGCUAAUGUUUUCCUUGAAUUAUGAGCACUGACAGAAUGUGCUUAGCACUUUUGGCUAUUCACACAGCUUUUGAGCAUGAUUUGCAUCCAAUAUUUACAUUGCUAGCAAUAAUAAGCCAUCUGUGAGUUUUGUCAAAA
ensembl:lncRNA HCG18 HLA complex group 18